rnacentral:rRNA from 1 species
CCUACGGGCGGCAGCAGUGAGGAAUAUUGGUCAAUGGACGAGAGUCUGAACCAGCCAAGUAGCGUGAAGGAUGACUGCCCUAUGGGUUGUAAACUUCUUUUAUAUGGGAAUAAAAUGUUCCACGUGUGGGAUUUUGUAUGUAUCAUAUGAAUAAGGAUCGGCUAACUCCGUGCCAGCAGCCGCGGUAAUACGGAGGAUCCGAGCGUUAUCCGGAUUUAUUGGGUUUAAAGGGAGCGUAGGUGGAUUGUUAAGUCAGUUGUGAAAGUUUGCGGCUCAACCGUAAAAUUGCAGUUGAAACUGGCAGUCUUGAGUACAGUAGAGGUGGGCGGAAUUCGUGGUGUAGCGGUGAAAUGCUUAGAUAUCACGAAGAACUCCGAUUGCGAAGGCAGUUCACUGGACUGCAACUGACACUGAGGCUCGAAAGUGUGGGUAUCAAACAGGAUUAGAUACCCCAGUAGUC